rnacentral:sRNA from 1 species
UGAAUAGCAGAAUUCAGUGAAUCAUCGAAUCUUUGAACGCACCUUGCCGCUCCUUGGUAUUCCGAGGAGCAUGCCUGUUUGAGUGUCAUUAAUAUAUAUAUAUCAAACUGCUCUUCAUUUGAGUGGUUUGGAUGUGGGGGGGUUUUGCUGGCCUCUUAAAGGGGUUCAGCUCUCCUGAAAUGCAUUAGCAGAACAAACCUGUUCAUUGGUGUGAUAACUAUCUACGCUAUUGAAUGUAAGGGGCAGUUCAGCUUUCUAACAGUCCUAGGACAAAUUUAUCAUUUAUGUGACCUCAAAUCAGGUAGGACUACCCGCUGAACUUUAAGCAUAUCAAUAAGCAGAGG